rnacentral:rRNA from 1 species
GGUUGAUAGGUCUGAGGUGGAAGUGUGGCGACACAUGGAGCUGACAGAUACUAAUCGAUCGAGGACUUAACCUAA